UUGCCAGACUCCUACGGGAGGCAGCAGUGGGGAAUAUUGCACAAUGGGCGAAAGCCUGAUGCAGCAACGCCGCGUGAAGGAAGAAGGGUUUCGGCUCGUAAACUUCUAUCAACAGGGACGAAAGAAAUGACGGUACCUGGAUAAGAAGCCCCGGCUAACUACGUGCCAGCAGCCGCGGUAAUACGUAGGGGGCAAGCGUUAUCCGGAUUUACUGGGUGUAAAGGGAGCGUAGGCGGAAUUGCAAGUCUGAUGUGAAAAUCCGGGGCCCAACCCCGGAACUGCAUUGGAAACUGUAUUUCUAGAGUGUCGGAGAGGCAAGUGGAAUUCCUGGUGUAGCGGUGAAAUGCGUAGAUAUCAGGAGGAACACCAGUGGCGAAGGCGGCUUGCUGGACGAUGACUGACGUUGAGGCUCGAAAGCGUGGGGAGCAAACAGGAUUAGAUACCCCAGUA
rnacentral:rRNA from 1 species